AGAGUUUGAUCCUGGCUCAGAACGAACGCUGGCGGCAGGCCUCAAACAUGCAAGUCUAGGGGGUGUAGCAAUACAUCACCGGCGGACGGGUGCGUAACACGUGGGAAUAUACCUUUCGGUACGGAACAACUGCGGGAAACUGCAGCUAAUACCGUAUACGUCCUAGCGGAGAAAGAUUCAUCGCCGAAGGAUUAGCCCGCGUUCGAUUAGCUAGUUGGUGAGGUAAUGGCUCACCAAGGCUACGAUCGAUAGCUGUUUUGAGAGGAAGAUCAGCCACACUGGGACUGAGACACGGCCCAGACUCCUACGGGAGGCAGCAGUUGGGAAUCUUGGACAAUGGGGGAAACCCUGAUCCAGCCAUGCCGCGUGAGUGAUGAAGGCCUUCGGGUUGUAAAGCUCUUUUACCCGGGAAGAUAAUGACUGUACCGGGAGAAUAAGCUCCGGCUAACUUCGUGCCAGCAGCCGCGGUAAUACGAAGGGGGCUAGCGUUGUUCGGAAUUACUGGGCGUAAAGCGCGCGCAGGUGGUUUCUCAAGUCAGUGGUGAAAGCCCGGAGCUCAACUCCGGAACUGCCAUUGAAACUGUGGAACUUGAGGACGAGAGAGGUGAGUGGAAUUCCCAGUGUAGAGGUGAAAUUCGUAGAUAUUGGGAAGAACACCGGUGGCGAAGGCGGCUCACUGGCUCGUAUCUGACACUCAAGCGCGACAGCGUGGGGAUCAAACAGGAUUAGAUACCCUAGUAGUCC
rnacentral:rRNA from 1 species